UACAGAGGGUGCGAGCGUUAAUCGGAAUGACUGGGCGUAAAGGGUGUGUAGGUGGUUUAAUAAGUUAGGUGUGAAAGUCCUGGGCUUAACCUGGGGAAGUCGCUUAAGACUGUUAAGCUAGAGUACUGUAGAGGAAGGUGGAAUUUCCGGUGUAGCAGUGAAAUGCGUAGAUAUCGGAAGGAACAUCAGUGGCGAAGGCGACUUUCUGGACAGAUACUGACACUGAGGCACGAAAGCGUGGGGAGCAAACAGG
rnacentral:rRNA from 1 species